CGGGAAAAUCUGUAAUGUUUGGAGAAGACAAGAUGGCGCUGGUUACCUCGUCUCAUAUCAAAGGGCAUUUUUGUUCACAAAUACCCGCUUAUUUUACGUUAUAGCGACUGGUUCGUUUUGGAAAUUAUAACUCAAUGGACGGGGAAAAUGAUUCUGUAUUAAAGAGAAAAUGAUGUGCAGUUGUUGUGAUGUUAUUUGUUGUGAAAGACGGCCCGAAAUUCCGCUACUUCGCAGUACUGGUUUAUAAAACAUUUACAAGCAACAGCAAUUGAACUAUAUGACAAAGAAACCAAUGUAUACAAGCCAAUCAAGUUCUUCAGUUUAAAGGUCUGUUUACUUUUUAAUAAUUAGUUCAUUUAGUUGUACAUUAAUACGAAGUACUGGAACAGUACGCCUAGUCACAGAAUAGGAAGGUAUACCCAUGAUCUUGAUACGCGGAAAAGUACUGGCACUAGUUGUCAAAUAGAAAUCCAUUUUAUGAUUAAAACAACUGAAUAUCUCCUGUAAUAUACUUUAUUUCGAUUCCAUAUUUUUGUCAGAGCUAUAGUUCUCAUAGCCAAACAUAAUUACAAAAUUUCAACUAGUUUCAUAAAGAAUAACGAAAGAUAUAAUUGACGGAAUACAUCAAAAUGGAUUUCUAUUCGGACAGCCCUUUCUGAGCGCUGAUUGGCUAAAAUACGAGCACGAGAUCACCUGGCCAUUGAACUAAAAAUAACUGGAACGAUACCUCCAGCCGGAAAUGUGAAGCCAUGCCCAGGCAUGCCCACUGUUGUCAUGCCCAGUCUUUUCACGUAACAGAAAUGAACGCGGGUUUUUUUAAUUUCCAAAACUGGGUAAAAAAAUGCACUAAAACAUGAUUUAAAACGACGUAAAAUGCACCUACCAGUACAUUUUUUACAAUAAAAACAUCCUUCAAAACUCUAGAGUAAAAUAUUUUUAAUUUACAGUACCGAUCACGGGAAAGUUAACAGUCCCUUGCGGGACGGGAUUCCUGUCCCGUGGGAACGUCGUUUGGGACAGAAAUCCCAUCCCGCGUUGUUGCGUGGACGGGAAAGCCGAAAUAAGCCUGCUAAAGACAUUUACAGUAGAAGAUUUGUUUCGACAGUAUGCUGCACAUCUUUAUUAAUGAAAUUUGUUCAAAGCUGAAACCGUUUUUAUAUCAUUUUUUUUCGAGAUUUUUUGAGAUUUGAAAUGGAUUUUCCGUUAUUUGGAUGUUUAGAGACUUUUUUGCCUUUUGGGACUUACGAGUUUUCACAAAAUCUACGAGCUAUAUCGUUAAAGAGAUUUCACAGCGCAAUUAAUUUCAGAAGACAAUAACCGAUCAAGACAAAAGGCCCACUGUCUUUGGUCUCAAUAGACAGUGCCGAAAACCGAUUGAUGUUCUGUUUUUGACAAACAACGUGAGUCAUCGACUCCAAAAUAAUUCCGAACGCGCUAAUAAAAGCCGAUACAAGGUCGCAAGCUUUUCAUUCGUCCGGUUUGUUCUGUACUGCAAAAACUUCACUGCUCUGUCUAAUUGGAGUGUUCACAUUGAAAGAAAAAAGUCUCGAAAUGCUUCGUGAACUGACUAAAGAGUCUAAAGUGUCAAAGUAUGCGGUUGCAUAGCGUUUCACGAAUAGCGACAAAAGAUGUUGUUAUGGUCGGAGGUGGUGGAGAAAUUAAACGAAAAUGUAAAGAUUUUGUUAUGUUGAAGCGUGAAAGAUAUUCUAGCCUACAUUUUAUAUCUUUCUGCAGGUAAGUAUACAUACAUAUUCAGAAACCACUUUGGAUUAAUAUAGCUACUGGAGACCUUGGUUAUUGUCAAUUUCAAGUCACUUUUCAACGUGCGGUUCCCAACUUCGUUGUGAACUUGCCAAUUACAUUUCCAAGUUCGGAAAUUAGGCGCGAAAUGUCAUAUUUCUUAACGUUUUAUUUUAAAUUCGGAUUUUAAUAUUCGCGGGACGGGAUUCCUGUCCCGUGAUCGGUACUGUAUUUGUGUAGAAUUCAUAAUUAAAUUUCCUUUUUUGAAAAAAAAACGUUGAGCGAGGAGUGGAGCUUGCCGUGGUCUAAUCAUAAGUAUUUGUGUGAAUUUCCCUAUUUUGCUCAUUCGUUUUCCAAUUUAUUCGUCUGAAAGUUUAUAGGAAAAAAGGUAUUCUAACAAGAUCAAACUACCAACCACAGUUUAAUUAUGUUUUGUAGUAGAGUAUUUAUUAAGUUUUAAAGGUACAAAAUAACAAGUAUAAACAUUAAAGACAUUAAGAAAGUUUUUUUCGCGGAACAAGAACAAGAACAAGUCGUCAACGAAGGCAAACAAAGUGAUAGAUACAGAUUAAAUAAACUUAUCUUGUUUAACAAUCAAUGAAGUUGUUAUAAAUAUAUGUUUAAUACGUUAAGAUAAAGAAUUACUUAUCUUUCUCAAGUUUCAUCUGCAUAUAAACGUUCCAGUCAUUCAAAUAUGCACUUGUUGUCUCCAAUCAGUUACUUUCUUCCUUGCAAUUUUAGUCGGUAGGUAGGGUUCAAGAUAUGUUUUAAAUACACUUUUAAUACAAAAAUAUAGCUUAAAACCCUAAAUAAACGACAAUUUUCGAUCCAUUCGUCCGAGAAAAAACAUUCAGUCACUUCGCCAUAAUGGUCUCGCGAGAAUGUCUCGCAACACAAAUGCGCGUGUCUGGAGGUAGAACACACACGGCUGGAGGUAAAAUUUGGCUUCAUCCGAUCAUAAGCCAAUCCUAUUGGAGGUAGCGUUCCAGGUAUUUUUAGUUCACUGGGUAUACCAGAAGCGUAACUCAAGCAAGUAUUUGUCCGCAUUUUUACAAGCGAUUCGUCAUCAAUCACGCCAUCCUGGCUAGUACAACCAGCACUUUGUACCUACCAAAACCAGUGAACUCUCUCUCUAUAUAUAUAUAUAUGGAAUGAUAACAGCGAGUGAAAAGUGAAGCCGACAAAAAAAAUCACGACAUAAGUAUUCGUCAUUGUCUUCGUCAUCAACUGUUCAAGAACAAUCACUUACAUAUAAAAUUUGUAAUUGUUUUGAAAGUUUUUAUCACAGUUUUUAUAUCUUUAUUCACUUUUAACCUGAAGAUGGAGUUUACUCCGAAACGUAGUUAUUAAAAUAAUUUUUCACUAAGCCCAUAUGGUCUAAUUUAUAUUCAAACACGCAUACAUAUUCAUUUACAUUUUGCUGGCAGGCAAAUUCCGAUCACACAAUAAAUUCUUUAAAAAAUAACGUACCAGUGUAUUGACUAAAAACUAUAAAACUGGUAAACUAAAAAACAAUUCAAACAAUUGUGAAAAAUGGCAAAGUCACAGUUGCAAGUCAAUUUACCUACCUGUGAAAUGAAAUUUUCCUCGCAAGAAUAUCUCUUUCCUUGUGCAUCCAGAACGACACAAUAUAUUUGAAAAAGCCUAUUCUUUUCUCCACACGGGGAAGUUUUCCUUGACUUUUUUCCGACAGCGAACUCAAUGCAGUAAAUUUUAGGAGCAAAACAGUUUGCUCCUAAAAUGUAUUGCAUUGAAUUGGCCAUGUUUUUAAUUUUUUUUUCGUGAUUGCGUUCAAAUUUAUACUGGCCGUGCAACGGUUUGCAAGAGGGGGAAUGAAACUGACGUCCAAUCCGCGUAAACCUGACGUUUGAGAGACUGACGUCCAAUCCGCGUGAAAGACUGGUAUCGAGGCUUCAUUGUUUUCACAAUCAAAUGACUGAAUGUUAUCAUUCCAGAUAUAUAUAUAUAUAUAUAGAGAGAGAGAGAGAGUUCACUGACCAAAACCUGAUAAAAACUUCCAGCUGUACUAGCCAGGAUGGCGUGGAUUGGCAUGAGCGAGUUAAAAUUUUCGUGGACGUAAAACAAUAAGGGAAACGACUAGAGUUACCCUUCUGCUCUAUCUUCUUUAUUCUGUGGCCUAGUUUGGUUUUGCUAAUUGUACUGACUACUGUAGUCGGACGGAAUAUUUAAGAUAAGGUAUGGAUAAACAGACCCCAACCCCUUCCCUAACCAAUAAAUGUGUAAUGAACUAUUUGAGAGUUAGAAAGGUCGGGGGGAAAAAUUUACAAAUAUUUUAAGAAACAUUUCUACGGGGCUGUUUAUAUGGAAGCAUGCCGCCAGGGUGGAAAGUUUGUAGUUUGCGCCGAAGAUCUUCGGCGUGGAAAAUUCAUAAAUUUGCUCCAUUUUGGCGCAGAAUUAUGGGAAAACGAACUGGCGUGGUGCACUGGCGUACAAAAAAUAUUUACUUGCGCACACUACAACGUUCUCAACCAUUUAUGUCUGUAUUUCAGUAAUUUAAUAAAGGGAAUUUGAUUGAGCACUGACUGACCGUAUUUCAAAUGUUUAGUAUCUGUUCUGUCUCAUUCUAAAAGUGUUGAUAUUGCAACUCGGCGGCGCAUGUGAACAUGUUUUAAAAAAGGAUUUGUGCAGCCACUGGUGCAUGUUACUGAACCUUGAUCAAAUCUUCGGCGCACAAGAAACAAACUUUCCACCCUGGAAGCAGGGCUGGCCUGCUAAACGAGAUAGCCUGGUAAGCGGGAUGAAUUUUGCUUGCGUUUAUGAGAUUUUAUCCUGCUUGCUGUGCUAGAAAUUGUUUACAUUGCACUCAAUAGGCAAUUCCAGCUUUUAGUUUAUGCCUGCAGGGGAUGAUGGGAAGUAAGGUAUCAUAGUGCUGAUUAUGCUGAAAAAUUUCAAUAAAAACAACCGAAAUAUUUCAAUAUUUACAAGUAUAAGCUAUCACUACGUGUUUACACGGCCACCAUUUUUAUUUUUUCAGCAUAAUCAGCAAUGUGAUACCUUAUUUCCCAUCGUCCCCUGCACGCAUAAACUAAAAGCUGGAAUUGCCUAUUGGCUUUCCCAAUUUCAAAAUUAAUUUUUGCUUCAAAACUCACUAUUUUGUAAACAUUACAGCUAUUGAAGCACAGCUUAGAGACAGGAAGUUUUACCUCGCAGUUUGAUCGUUGAAACACACAACUUACCAAGGGCAAAUUCAUGGGAAAUUUAGGCACUUUCGGUCAAUGGGUUGUUCCAGAAAAGAUCCAUACCCCCAUGCUGUCCGAAGGGGGAGUGAGGAAAAAUGUCUUAGGAUGUCCGAAGGGGGGGGGGGGAGGAAAUGCGGAUAUAAGAUUGUCGGAAGGUUUUAGACAGUGAUAAAGCUAUGUGUAUCGGCUAUAGCCCUUAAAAACUGGAACGUUUAUGUAACAGCAAUAAUUAUACGUCCACGUAACUCGUAAGCAAAAUAGCGGCCCACUUUUGCAUGCAUGGUCACCAAAAACUAACUCGCUGUAACAGUGUAUCCUGCAUGUUGAGAAUGAGUCGAAAAUUUACACACUUUAUUUAUAUAAAAGUAAAGUUUUGCAGUUUUUGUAUGUAUAAGUUUGAAUUAUUCAAGUGUUAAAAAUAAUAGUUAUUAAACUGUUGCUUGAAUUAAGAGACUGCUAUGUGAACUAAACUCAAUAUUUAGAAUAUUUAGUUUCAAUAUAUAGUCAAUAAAAGCUUCCUUGCGAGGUGUGUGCCUAGAAAAUAGAAAUGGCUGUCAUAUUAAGGGCGAGGUUAAGGAAUGCAGUAAUACUAAAAAAUGCAUUAACAUGUAAGUAAACACAGCAACGCUUCUCAAUCAGUCGCAAGUUACAUUGAAUUUCAGUCCGAAUUUUACUUGAUCGAAUUUCAAAGUGAAUUUCUGCAAAUUAUCCACCAAAAUCUGCCAUGUGUUUGUGUUCACAAGAAGCCGCCAAGUGUUCCACCACCACGCCGGAGCUAUUUGACAACAAUGUAGAAAAGUCACAAUAAGCCAUCGCUUUCACACUACGCUGGAGCGAAAUAGUUUGAAAACUUUCACAACACCUUUGCCAAAUACGCUACCAGCCUGAAUUGCUGAAAGCUGUUGCAAAAAACUGUUUUAUAGUACUACUUUACAAAAUGUAAUAAUUGGAUGCUAUAUACUUCAGUUCUUGUAUGAUAGCGCUUAUAAAUAAUUAUAUAUAAUAUAUAAUAUAUAAUUAUAAAUAAUUAUAAGCACUAUCAUACAAGAAAUGUCAAGAAUGAAUUUUCCUUCAAUGGUGGUUUUUUAUCCGUCAAAAGUUUAAUAUAGUUUUGACGAGAGAAAUGUUUCUCAACAAUUUUCAGAAAGUUUUACAAGAUUUUGGGGCUUGUUUUGAAUUGGGCUAUUCCAUUUAAAAGACGUAACCCCCCUAUCAAGGACAAUGGUUUUACCAUAUCUCUGAAGAAUUCCUGACAUAAAAGAGAUCCCCUGAAGAAUUCCUGUUACCCCUGAAGAAUUACAAUUUUUACAUCUGACCCCUAAAGGAAUUGCAUUUGAAAUAACCAACCCCUGAAGAAUUCCACAGGAGAAUUUGUUUACCCAUGAGGAAUUCCGGAGUUAAAAAGGGAGAUUAUGGAUAUUAAAUGGAAUAGCCAAUUUUCUGGAAAAUUUAGCCCAAUUUUCUUGAAAAUUUCCUGGUUGUUUUCCCUGCAGCUUGUUUAUAAACAUGCUUGUUUAUCUAUAGCAUCAUUUGUAGAAAAGGUGUUGAAAGCAUUUUUUGAAAGCAAUGACGUAUUAUCAAAUGACAAAUGAUCAUGCGAGCGACACUUGCUAGGAAGAUGGCGACUGUGGGACAACUAUAUAAUAGUUUUGUUUGUGGAAACACCACAUAAAUUUAUUACUGCAAAGCUUUCAAUCCGUAAGCCCGGAUCUUCAUCAGUGCUAAUAUGUGACUUGUUUAAUUCACACGCCCUUUUUAUAUACAAAAAAUGUCUUGAUCUGUUGGCUCACAUAUUAUUAGCACUGAUGAAGAUCCGGGCUUACAGAUCGAAAGCUUGGCAGUAAUAAAUUUACGUGGUGUUUCCACAAACAAAACUAUUAUAUGUUUUAUCGCCAUGCAAACAUACAAAGAAAUUAUUGUGGGACAACUUUUUUACUGAAGUUAUACAUCUGUCUUCACUUAAUCUGUGGCUCAGCUGGCUAGACCUUGAUUCUUGCCUGUGGUCCCCCUUUGCAUUUGACCCAAAUGUUUUGGUCAUUUUAUAUUUGCCAAUAUAAAUCUUUUUGGCAUAGAAAUUAUACAUUUGGAAUAAUAAUUUUGUAUGCUGCAUUCAAUCUAUUCUCCAUUCAGGGAGAUUCUUUUGUAAAUACCCACACCAAUCAGAAGUCUGUAUUUUUAUGCUAAAACAGAAAUUGGCAUCCCAGAGAGUAAAUUAUGUUCAAGUUUAGGGCAUGUUGCAGCUCUAUAUCUUGCCGUUGCAAGUUGCUUUGCGUUUGAUGUUUGUUCUGGGAUAAAAUAUUGAAUUAUACCUUAAAUUAAUGUUUUGUGAAAUUUAGUUUAAAUAAUUUAAUAGAGAGAUGAGUGCAUAAAGCAUAGGGAUUUUGAAGCUAAAUAUGUUAUAAAAUUUGUCAUUUUAGUGAAUGCAUUCGUUUCUGCUCGUCCUGGUUGUUGCAAGGAGACAUCAGGCAUUGUAAUGGAUGGAUGACAAUGUGUCGCUGGCAAACCUACACCGUGUGCAUUUUCUUGGUGGAUAUCUUGGGCAAAUGUGCAAUAUGACGAG
rnacentral:lncRNA from 1 species